GGGGGCGACAGGCUUCGACAGGGGUCUUGUACGUCGAGCGGAUGUCAUGCCGGGCUCCUUCAUGCAGCUCGUUAAAAAGCGUGGAGAAACAACAAUUGCCAAUAACCAAGAAUUGGCUCUCGCUGCCUAAUUAAGCACCGAGCGUCUCGCCGCAAGUUGCUCAUGCGCGCGGAGUGAGAUGUCACACAGUUGAGCUGGCGCGCGGCUUCGGUCCGUGGUCGCGCGCGAGACCAAGUCGGACUAGCUCUCGCUGAGGUCUUGUCACUUCACUGACUCGGCGUUGAGCGAAAUCCGCAGGGCUCCGGCUCUGCGAAAAGAGAAGCGACUAAGCAUGUAGAGUCUUCCGGCGGCGGCCUUUGGAUCCGAGUUCAAUUCUCGGCGCCUCCACCA
rnacentral:tmRNA from 1 species